rnacentral:miRNA from 1 species
CUCCAGAUGUUGCUGAACUACAACUCCCAUGAUUUUCAGCCUAUCUAUUUUAUUCAUAGAAUCAUGGGAGUUGUAGUUCAGCAACAUCUGGAG